CCUACGGGUGGCAGCAGUGGGGAAUAUUGGACAAUGGGCGAAAGCCUGAUCCAGCCAUGCCGCGUGUGUGAAGAAGGCCUUCGGGUUGUAAAGCACUUUCAGUGGGGAAGAAAGCCUAGGGGCUAAUACCCUCGAGGAAGGACAUCACCCACAGAAGAAGCACCGGCUAACUCCGUGCCAGCAGCCGCGGUAAUACGGAGGGUGCGAGCGUUAAUCGGAAUUACUGGGCGUAAAGCGCGCGUAGGCGGUCUGAUAAGCCGGUUGUGAAAGCCCCGGGCUCAACCUGGGAACGGCAUCCGGAACUGUCAGGCUAGAGUGCAGGAGAGGAAGGUAGAAUUCCCGGUGUAGCGGUGAAAUGCGUAGAGAUCGGGAGGAAUACCAGUGGCGAAGGCGGCCUUCUGGACUGACACUGACGCUGAGGUGCGAAAGCGUGGGUAGCAAACAGGAUUAGAUACCCGUGUAGUC
rnacentral:rRNA from 1 species